UUGAAGAUUUUUGAAUUUAAUCAACAAAUUGACAAAUAAUUAAAAUAACAAUUCAAUAUAAAUAUUGAAGUUUGGUGUAAACCUUUGGCCCAACUUAUUUCUAAGACAGACCAAAGCAAUAGUUUCAAAUAAGAAAAACAAGUGUGUAAGGUUUUUCGCCGCGCAAUUAAGCGCUGGCAAAAGAAUACAGUAAUGAUCCUUCCGCAGGUUCACCUACGGAAA
rnacentral:misc_RNA from 1 species